rnacentral:rRNA from 1 species
UACAGAGGUGGCAAGCGUUGUUCGGAAUUACUGGGCGUAAAGGGCGCGUAGGCGGCCUUCUAAGUCGGACGUGAAAGCCCCAGGCUUAACCUGGGAACUGCGUCCGAUACUGGGAGGCUUGGAUUCGGGAGAGGGAUGCGGAAUUCCAGGUGUAGCGGUGAAAUGCGUAGAUAUCUGGAGGAACACCGGUGGCGAAGGCGGCAUCCUGGACCGAGAUCGACGCUGAGGCGCGAAAGCUAGGGGAGCAAACGGG